UACAGAGGGGGCAAGCGUUGUUCGGAAUUACUGGGCGUAAAGGGCGCGUAGGCGGCCUUCUAAGUCGAACGUGAAAUCCCUGGGCUCAACCCAGGAACUGCGUCCGAUACUGGAAGGCUUGAAUUCGGGAGAGGGAUGCGGAAUUCCAGGUGUAGCGGUGAAAUGCGUAGAUAUCUGGAGGAACAUCGGUGGCGAAGGCGGCAUCCUGGACCGAUAUUGACGCUGAGGCGCGAAAGCCAGGGGAGCAAACGGG
rnacentral:rRNA from 1 species